GCUUCUCUGCAAAGAUUUGUGCUUACUGACUUAUAGGGAAGGGAAGGCCAGCCGCAGGGAGUUGCAGAAUGAAGUCACCUCUAUGCCCACUGGGUGAAAGGAACUUCAAGCUUCCCCAUUGCUACCGAGGAGGAGCCCCAGCUCCGGGCCUCAGCAGGUCCCAGAAGGCCUGAGAGCUUUGCUUCUAAGUGGAGGGAGAAGACCCAGAGAGGCCCAGACGGUGAGCUACUCUGGGUCCGAGACGUGCCUGAGAGAGCAGGGCUUUGUACAGUUGGUAGCGAGAGAGAAUGUACCCUGCAGGAGAGAGGCGCGGCUUUCUCUCUGUUUCGCUGCCUUCCGGAACACAGCAGGUGACGCUGGGCCUUCAGGUGCCUUCAGAGCGGCGUCCACGUUGACAGAGCCUAGUAACUUAAGGUUCGUUCUGACAACGGCUUUGAAGUCAGAUGGAAAAGGAGCACUACCUUUGGCACUGCAUGGCCCCAAGCCCAGACUGAGAUGGGGAGGAGCAGUGAGGCAGGCACUAGUUCUGGAAAAUCAGUGCUGACAGGUCAUUUUUACUCUGGGGUGUAGCAUUCUCUCAUUUUUUUCCCCCUUUCUUGACCAAAAAUGUAACUUCUUACCCCAGGAAAGCAAAGCUGCAGCAGGGGAGAGAUGCCCUCGGGGCUGGCUGGCAACAAUUUCCUUCCUAGUAAAAGAGAGAAGCAAAAAAUUGCCAUUUGCUUAUACUUUGGACUUGUAUAUGGAAGUUCAGUUAUAUUCGCUAGUUAAUGGUGCUCAUUUACAGAAAGCAUUGUUUUGGUCUUGGUUCCAAAUACAUGUGAAAUUUCACUCUAAAACACAUACUCCUGUAAAUUUUUGUUUUAAUUUUUGCUUAAAAUGCUGACUUCUCAAGUUAUUUUUCUGCACCAGUAGAAAAGACUUAACCAAAGUUUCCUGUAAAAUUAAUACUUCUGCCAUCAUGCUAUUCCAGAAACACCUCCAUGUACUUUGAAUGUGUCUAAAAGAUGUAAUCAGGAGAGUCAGAAUGGAAAGGUCAAAAGGACGACUUAAUGGCAAUCAUGUUCUUUGUAUUUUCAUUUGUCUCAGGGUUUCCCCUAAUAUAGAGUGAUUCUUGUGUAUCCCCAGUAUGAAAUGGUACCUGUUGGCAUGUUAUAUGUUGAGUUUGCAUGUUAUAAGGAACUUAAAUAACCUGGAAUAUUUCUCAUUUCUUAUGGCCCAUCAAAAAAUUUUACUUUACAUUUGCUGGUACUCUAGUGUGCAUAAUUCAUGAUUUAUUCACUCAACAUGGAGUUCCCUCUAUGGGCUAGGCAUAGGAAACAAAGGUGAAGACCCACCCUUAAAUAACUCAGCCUGGUUGUGUGUGGAUUUAGAUGUGUAAGUGACAGGAAGAGUGUGCCGAGAGCAUUGAGGAAGAAAGGUUUAAUUCCAUCUGGAUGAGUCGAUAUUUGCUGGGGUCCUGAGCCCAGGCACUGAAUUCUGACUUCACUGCUUUCUAGUCAUCUGACUGGGGCAAGUUUCUGAACCUAUCUGAGCCCCAGUUUCAACACCUAUACUACAUAGGAAGAAUAAUGGGACCCACAUCAUGGAUUUUUUUUUUUCCCCGUGGUGAUUCAAUAGAAUGCAUUAUAGCAACCACUCUAUGUGUGUGGGUGGUGAUGAUGAUGAUGAUGCUGGGGGAGGUGGAGUGAGGAUGAAGGCAAAGAGAUGGAGAAGGCGUCACAGAGAUUAUAGGGUCAGGAAUUCAGUGGGUAAAGGAGGAAGAUGUGGAAGAGUGAAGAACAUUCCAGCUGGGGCCCCGUGCUGUGUUUUAACAAGCCCCCAGGUGAUUCUGAGGCACAGUGAAGUUCAAGAACCAUUGAGCCGUGAGUCAGCCAAGCAAUCUGUGCCGUUGGACCUGAGUUGGAUGCGGACCCCGGCACUUAGGAGCACCCGAUGAUGUCACAGGAAGGCACCAUUGUCCACGUGCUUUGAACUCGGAGGAACACUGAUGCCCGAUAGGCAUGCCUGCAUGUUGAGUUGCUUCAGUCAUGUCUGACUCUGUGACCGCAUGAACUGUAGCCUUCAGGCUCUGCUAUUCAUGGGAUUCUCCAGGCAAGGAUACUGGAGUGGGUUGCUAUGCCCUCCUCCAGGGGACCUUUCCAACCCAGAGAUAGAAUCGACAUCAGGUCACAGUGCUGCUUGCAGAGAGGACGAGCAGUGGGGAUAAAGUGAGGCCAGGAGGCUGAGUGCUCCCUUCUGGCUGGUGGCCUAUAGCCUCUGCCUGUUACUGCACUGCCUGCUGGACUAAGAAGGCUGCUCGAGCUCUAGCCAUCACUUCCACAUUCUGAUGAGCAAGAAAAGAAGAAGAUGUGAAGGAUUUCUUUUUCAGUUUAAGGACAUUUCCUAAAAGUUGACCACCAUGUCUCCAUGUGUAAAUCGUUGGUUAGCACUGAGUCAAAUGGAAUUACUAACUGCAGGGACACUCAGAGAUGUAAUUUUUACUCCAGAUGGCCAUGAAUCCAGGGAGUCUCAUCCAUUAGCGGCUUAUCAGGAGACAGAAACCAAAUCCCUUAUUUGAAGAUGUUCACAGGUAAGUGAAAGAUGAAAAGGGAAGUCUUCAGAUACCAUGGAAGUGGUCACUGCAGGAAGUAGCUACCGCCCCCGGGGCUGAGGAAACAGAGGGAAGAGGUUACAUUAUUAAAACUUAGCAAUCACGAGGGCAGGCCCCAUGGAACUGAAACUUGGACCUCUGAAGAGUGGAUGCUACUUGCUGGGGCUGGCGUCUCUGAGCUCCCAGGACUGUGGGACCCAGACUCGGUGAAGCCUGCUGCCGGCUGUGGUCCUGGCGGCCCACUCCACAAAGCGGAUUCUAAGUGUUGGGGAAGCUGAAAACUGGAUUCAGUGACUGCUCUGGGAAGGAACUGUCACUGCUGGAGUGAAGAAGCGUGGCUGGGGUGACACUCCCAGGACCAGGAGGCAGACAAGACAAAGCGAGCCUCUUCCUCUUUCAGCCUUGCAGCUCUGAUGGCAGAAACUAGCGCAGAGCCCGCUGGCGGAGCGGAGCUGCAGUCAGCAGGAACCCAGCUGCAGAGCAGAGAAGGGGGGCUUCACACUGAAAGUCAGCCACUUCAUAACUGGCCCGGGAGGUAGUGUAUGGAUGUAAGAAGACAUCACUCUAGAUCAGUGAUCCUAACAGCUCCAUGGCAUCCGACAUCAAGACAAGCAGAAAUGACCGGAGGAGAGGAGGGUCAAGUCAUCGGAAGUCUCUCAAGGCCCUGAGAACAGCUGGACAGGAUCACAAACCCCCUGAGUGCCUGCCGCCCCCCUCCCCCGCCUCCACGCCCUGCAGUCCCUCAGACCACUCCCUAGCACAUUUCUGACCUGGUCACGUUUAACUCUUGAAUUGAUCUUGCCAUUGCCAGCACGGAACGUUCCAUCCAGAUCAACCCACAGCAGUUCAUGGAAAAGCUGUGGACAAACAAGGCUGAAUAAAGACAUUUCCUCCUGUGCGUCUGGCAGGUUUUCUCGAGCCUUUUGCCAGGAUUCAUUUCCACCUUUUCUGGAUGACUAGGGCUGGAGGAUAAUGUGGGAUCAGGGACACAGGGAGCUUACCCAGUAAGAGAUUAAUUUUAGUUGCGCAAAGCUGUUUGAAUGAAACUUCAGGUACAUUGAUGAUACGUGUGGGCUCUGAUCCAGUGUGUAAAGCCACAGGAUGAAGUUUUAACCUAACAUUAAUGUUUAAAUUCUCUUUUGGGACCUCUGUUAUAUGUAAGUCCAGCACCAAUAUGAUAAAAGAGGAAAAAAGAAUUAUUCAGAGUUAAAUAUAAGAUGACAAUUGAGAAAAAGAAAACACAUUUCUCACAUACCCUCUGGUACCCUUUUCUUCCCAUUAGCAUUUUCCUUGCUGCAACUCCACAAAGACAAAUAGAUGGCUGGAGCUAAAACAUUAUUUGGUGGUGGUGGGAAUACAGCGAGCAGGAGGGUAUGGGGAGGGGGGUGAGGGAUGGAGAGCUAAGUUUUCUCCUGAUGAUAAAAGUAGUAAAAUCUUGCUGUUGAAAUCUAAAAAGUACCAAAAAAUGUAACAGGAGGUAAAAAAUAAACUACCCAUAAUGUUAUCAUUUUGGUAUUUCUUCUUCUAGGAGAGGCAUAUUCACACUGACUAUGCCAUUUUACAUAGUCUUUUUUUUUUUUCUACACAAAGCAUUUAAAAUGUCCUAUCUGAAAGCUGAUAUUUAAGUCUAUUGUGUGGAUACCUCAUGUUUUUCUUCAUUGUUCUUAUCAUCAUCCUUACUUUUAAAAAAAUGUUAAACUAUUAUGAAGAAUUCUGAAAUGAACAUCUUUGUGCAUCUGGUAUUUUCUGUUAAGAAAGAUUCCAAGGAGUGAGACUUCUGAACCAAAACCUAUAGGCAUUUCAUAGGCUCUCUUUCUACUGCAAAAUUUCUUUCCCAGCAGGGGAUUCUAAUCUCGGAGUUCCUCUUAUAUGGUGCAUGAAAGUAUCUUGGUGGCCUUGAGCAUUAUCUCUUUUUGUUUUAAAGAGCUGAUAUGAUACAAUAAUAAUUAAAAGUACAUGGUUGCUGCAUUUCUUUGUGUACAUAUUUGAUUAUUAGUAAGAUUGAACAUUUUAAUUCAAUCUAUAUUAACCAUACGGGCAAGGAUUGUGUCUAUUUUGCUUAUUUCUGAAUCUCUAGUUCUGAGGAGAGUGUCUGACAUAUAGAAGGCACCCAAUAAAUACUUUACAAAAUUAAUUUUUAAAUGAUAAACUGCCCACUUAUCUAUUCAGAAUAGUGUUUUUAAUGAUCAGAUAUUUGAAAUGAUAAAAUCCAGUGUUGGAAAGUCUACAGUUUUAUAACAGUUAUAAAAAGUAGCAAGUUAACAUUCCCACAUGUGUGAAUUAAUUUAUGUUUCUAAUUUUGGAAUAUUUGUAGUCUUGAGGACAGAAUCAUGGAAAAGAAGUCACUAAAAUGAGUUUGUAUUAUGGCUUAACUGUGUGAUGGGUGACAAACAAGGACCUACCGUAUAGCACAGGGACCCUCUGCUCCGUGUUAGCGGCAGCCUGGAUGGAAGGGGAGUUUGGGGGAGAAGGGAUGUGUAUGGCUGAGUCCCUCUGCUGUUCAUCUGAAACUGUCACAACAUUGUCUGUUAAUUGGCUAUACCCCAAUACAAAAUAUAAACUUAAAAAAAAGUUAACUCUGUGACUUUUAAGGUUUUAAUGUCUCCUCCAAAAAUCAAAGCAAAAUUUUAA